rnacentral:rRNA from 1 species
UACGUAGGGGGCAAGCGUUGUCCGGAAUCAUUGGGCGUAAAGAGCGUGUAGGCGGCCAGAUAAGUCCGCUGUGAAACUCGAGGCUCAACUUCGAGCUGUCGGCGGAAACUAUCUGGCUAGAGUCCGGAAGAGGAGAGUGGAAUUCCUGGUGUAGCGGUGAAAUGCGCAGAUAUCAGGAAGAACACCCGUGGCGAAGGCGGCUCUCUGGGACGGUACUGACGCUGAGACGCGAAAGCGUGGGAGCGAACAGG